rnacentral:rRNA from 1 species
UACGAAUGGGGCUAGCGUUGCUCGGAAUCACUGGGCGUAAAGGGUGCGUAGGCGGGUCUUUAAGUCAGGGGUGAAAUCCUGGAGCUCAACUCCAGAACUGCCUUUGAUACUGAAGAUCUUGAGUUCGGGAGAGGUGAGUGGAACUGCGAGUGUAGAGGUGAAAUUCGUAGAUAUUCGCAAGAACACCAGUGGCGAAUGCGGCUCACUGGCCCGAUACUGACGCUGAGGCACGAAAGCGUGGGGAGCAAACAGG